UGAUGGAACUCAAGACCGUCGAAGUGGGCUUCAAGCUUGCGGAUUUCUGCGCAGUAAGCGUCCAUGGAUUCAUUGGUGCAGUCUUAGUUCUUGUUGACUUGCUCGAUGACAACCUUGGAGUCGCCAUAAGCAAGGAUGCGCUUGAUUCCAAGGGAAAUAGCGAUGCGUAACCCAUGAAUGAGAACUUCAUACUCGACACCGUUGUUAGUGGCCUUGUAGUGGAUCUGGAGUACGUACUUGAG
rnacentral:lncRNA from 1 species